GACGAACGCUGGCGGCGUGCUUAACACAUGCAAGUCGAGCGAACAGACGAGGAUCUUGCUCCUCUGACGUUAGCGGCGGACGGGUGAGUAACACGUGGAUAACCUACCUAUAAGACUGGGAUAACUUCGGGAAACCGGAGCUAAUACCGGAUAAUAUAUUGAACCGCAUGGUUCAAUAGUGAAAGACGGUUUUGCUGGCACUUAUAGAUGGAUCCGCGCCGCAUUGGUUAGUUGGGAAGGUAACGGCUUACCAAGGCGACGAUGCGUAGCAGACCUGAGAGGGUGAUCGGCCACCCGGGAAGUGAGACAGGUUCCCGACUCCUACGGGAGGCAGCAGUAGGGAAUCUUCCGCAAUGGGCGAGAGCCUGACGGAGCACCGCGGCGUGAGUGCUGAAGGUCUUCGGCUCGUAAAGCUCUGUUAUUAGGGGAGAACAAAUGUGUAAGUAACUGUGCACGUCUUGACGGUACCUGAUCAGAAAGCCACGGCUAACUACGUG
rnacentral:rRNA from 1 species